GCUGUCAAAAAUUUGCAACUUCACGUGUUUAGUCGUCAUCACCAGUUCCAACAAAGAAAGCUCGCGGACGUGUUCCGGAGUUCCCCCGGCCGCGUUUCCCCGGUUUCCCCGAUCCAGAAGUCGCCCAACGUUGAAAGAAGCUGCGUCCGCGCGGUUUGAAGCACGUCCGCAAUGCGAGAACCGGCGCCGAAGACUUCCCCAGUGAGAUGCAAAUCGGUUCUCCAGGAGUGUCCGGAAUGGAGCAGGAAUCGGAGACUGAAGGAGGCCACGGCUGGAGAGUUCAAUUUCGUUCCCGGGGGAAGCGGGUUACGCCGGCGAAGAAGACGUCGCUGACGUUUGCCAUUUUCCGCACCGGUUGACCGGAUUGGGGUGGAGAAGAUAUGGUGGAGAACCAAUGUGAAGCGGCCGUCUGAGGCGAUGCAAAACGUUAACCUCGACCCGCUGCCACCCGUCUCCCACCUCCAACCCGGUCGGAGAACAUCACGGCUUCUCCGACGACAAUGACCGCAUCGAGGAACCCAGAAACGUGAAACGUGUCAUCAUUCCGCCCUCACUACCGCGACCGCAUCCCCAAGUCCAGCCCAACAAAGUGAAUCCCUCAUCGAGCGUGUCAUGCAGCAGUGUCCCCUCAAUCCGACGGCCCAGACCAUACCCAGCCGCUCAACGUGACGAUUGGGUUCUUCUCUCUGGGGUCGUCCUCGCCGUGGCGAGUUUAAAACGAAAACGUCCUGUCGCGAACGUUCUCUUUUCCCGAUUGAACCGCCUGCUGCCAUGGUAUGGGAGCGACGUCGUCGUUCGGGACCAAAAUGUGCGGCCAAAGACGCCGGUUGUGGAGUAGCCGGUUUCGCUGGCCAAGCGAUUGUCACCGCACGCAGUGAUCGUUCGGGUACCUGGAGUUAAGGCCGAUGCCAUGUUCCGGGGAAUUCGACAGCGACAACCUUUAAGUACGAUCCUGCGGUGCUGAAGUCCUAGCACAAUCCUUCAUCAGCACCAGAUGUUGCAGAGAUUCAGCACAGCGGGGUUCAGUGUGUGAUGGUGGUGUGUGGUUCCCGUUCACUAACUGGGCCAUCGAUUACCCCAAAUCAAGUCAUCGAUAGACAAAAAAAA